rnacentral:rRNA from 1 species
UACGAAGGGGGCUAGCGUUGCUCGGAAUCACUGGGCGUAAAGCGCACGUAGGCGGAUCUUUAAGUCAGGGGUGAAAUCCUGGAGCUCAACUCCAGAACUGCCUCUGAUACUGGGGAUCUUGAGUCCGGAAGAGGUAAGUGGAACUGCGAGUGUAGAGGUGAAAUUCGUAGAUAUUCGCAAGAACACCAGUGGCGAAGGCGGCUUACUGGUCCUUAACUGACGCUGAGGCGCGAAAGCAUGGGGAGCGAACGGG